UUUGGCCGUUACCUGCAGCUGAUGAGCUCCAAAAAGAACAAUUCCAUUUAGGUCAUGUAGUACUGGCCUACAUGUUU
rnacentral:hammerhead_ribozyme from 1 species